rnacentral:ncRNA from 1 species
GGCCAAGUUUUUAAGGGCGCACGGUGGAUGCCUUGGCACCAGGAACCGAUGAAGGACGUGGGAGGCCACGAUAGUCCCCGGGGAGCCGUCAACCAGGCUUUGAUCCGGGGGUUUCCGAAUGGGGAAACCCGGCAGUCGUCAUGGGCUGUCACCCAUACCUGAACACAUAGGGUAUGUGGAGGGAACGAGGGGAAGUGAAACAUCUCAGUACCCUCAGGAAGAGAAAACAACCGUGAUUCCGGGAGUAGUGGCGAGCGAAACCGGAUGAGGCCAAACCUACGACGUGUGAGACCCGGCAGGGGUUGCGUCGUGGGGGUUGUGGGAUCUCUCUUCUGUCGUCUGCCGGCGACAGGACGAGUCAGAAACCGUUGAUGUAGGCGAAGGACAUGCGAAAGGUCCGGCGUAGAGGGUAAGACCCCCGUAGUCGAAACGUCAACGGCUCGUUUGAGAGACACCCAAGUAGCACGGGGCCCGAGAAAUCCCGUGUGAAUCUGGCGGGACCACCCGCUAAGCCUAAAUAUUCCCUGGUGACCGAUAGCGGAUAGUACCGUGAGGGAAUGGUGAAAAGUACCGCGGGAGCGGAGUGAAAUAGUACCUGAAACCGUGUGCCUACAAGCCGUGGGAGCGUCGCGUUGCAUGCUUGCAUGCAACGUCGUGACUGCGUGCCUUUUGAAGAAUGAGCCUGCGAGUUUGCGGUGUGUUGCGAGGUUAACCCGGGUGGGGUAGCC